rnacentral:rRNA from 1 species
GAUGAACGCUGGCGGCGUGCUUAACACAUGCAAGUCGGACGAAGCAAUGAAGCGGAAGUUUUCGGACAGAAGCUUGAUUGACUGAGUGGCGGACGGGUGAGUAACGCGUGGGAAACCUGCCUUAUACGGGGGGAUAACAGUUAGAAAUGACUGCUAAUACCGCAUAAGCCUGCAGCAUCGCAUGAUGCAGGAGGAAAAGGAGCAAUCCGGUAUAAGAUGGUCCCGCGUCUGAUUAGCUAGUUGGUAAGGUAAUGGCCUACCAAGGCGACGAUCAGUAGCCGACCUGAGAGGGUGACCGGCCACAUUGGGACUGAGACACGGCCCAAACUCCUACGGGAGGCAGCAGUGGGGAAUAUUGCACAAUGGGGGAAACCCUGAUGCAGCGACUCCGCGUAAGUGAAGAAGUCAUUCGUGAUGUAAAGCUCUAUCAGCAGGGAAGAAAGUGACAGUACCUGAGUAAGAAGCCCCGGCUAACUACGUGCCAGCAGCCGCGGUAAUACGUAGGGGGCAAGCGUUAUCCGGAUUUACUGGGUGUAAAGGGAGCGUAGGUGGUACUGCAAGUC